UCGGGAAUUUUGGGCAAUGGGCGAAAGCCUGACCCAGCAACGCCGCGUGAAGGAUGAAGUAUUUCGGUAUGUAAACUUCGAAAGAAUAGGAAGAAUAAAUGACGGUACUAUUUAUAAGGUCCGGCUAACUACGUGCCAGCAGCCGCGGUAAUACGUAGGGACCAAGCGUUGUUCGGAUUUACUGGGCGUAAAGGGCGCGUAGGCGGCAAUUCAAGUCAUCUGUGAAAUCUCCGGGCUUAACCCAGAACGGCCAAGUGAUACUGUCGCGCUAGAGUGCAGAAGGGGCAAUCGGAAUUCUUGGUGUAGCGGUGAAAUGCGUAGAUAUCAAGAGGAACACCUGAGGUGAAGACGGGUUGCUGGGCUGACACUGACGCUGAGGUGCGAAAGCGUGGGGAGCAAACAGGAUUAGAUACCCUAGUAGUCCCUGAGCGGGCUGGCAAGGCGCAU
rnacentral:rRNA from 1 species